UUGCGGUACUCUGACCGUGCAAAGGUAGCAUAAUCAUUUGCCUUAUAAUUGGAGGCUUGUAUGAAUGGUUUGACUUGAACAAAGCUGUCUCUCUAUAAUUUUGUAGAAUUUUAUUUUUAGGUGAAGAAGCCUAAAUUAAAUUAAUAGACAAGAAGACCCUAUCGAGCUUUAAAUAAGUUAGUAGAUUUAUAAUGUUAAUAUAUGUAAAAAAUUAACUAUUAAAAAUUUUGGUUGGGGCGACUAAGGAACAAAUAAAGCUUCCUAUAUUUAAUAGAUGUUCAUAUAUUGAUCCAAGCUUUUUGAUUAAAGAAAUUAGUUACCGUAGGGAUAACAGCAUUAUUCUCUUUGAGAGUUCUUAUCGAAAAGGGGGUUUGUGACCUCGAUGUUGGACCAGAAUAUCCUAAAGAUGCAGAAGUCUUUAAGGGUUGGUCUGUUCGACCAUUAAAUUCUACGUGAAA
rnacentral:rRNA from 1 species